CAACCAUUUACGCCGCCAACACAAACCCUAGCUCACUCCUUCUCCACGUCGCUAUGACUCCAAAUCGACCGUUCUCUGGCGGUGGACGGCGGAAAGGAGUCACAUCUCCACAAAUCGUCGACGCCUCAACCUCCACGCCUGUCGGAGACGGCGAUAAAACCCUAAUCACCGCCUCGGAGACAAAAAACCCUAAUCCCUUCACCUUCUACCCGCCUCCACCGUCGAGAACGGAGAAAUAGAGGAGUUCGGUGGUGCGUACAAUUCCAUUAUCGAAACAGUGAGGCAGAGGGGUUGAUUUCUUCGAAACCCUACGAAAAUCGUUGGCUUCGAAACCUUACCAAAAUCGAUUGUAUUCGUCGAAACCCUACCAAAUCCAUGGCUUGCUCCUCGGCUACACAAUUCCUCUCCGAAACCAAAAUAAGGAGCAAUCUCAUAAGCAUGGACUGAAUAGACUUUGAUGAUAGAGUUCGUUAUUCUCGGAUGAAGAUUAUCUAUCAAGGAACUAAUAUCUAAAAAAAAUAAGAAGUACAGGUGGAAAAAUAGGAAUAGAGAUUGCAUACAAAUAUUCAUGAGGUAGUAACUAAUCUCAUUAUUUUGGCAUUAUAAUUGCUGCCUUCUUACAAUUAAACUAAACAUACCAUCCUAUCAUGAAAUACAACUUUUAGAUUUGUGAUCAUUCUUUCUUGUCUCCUGAAUUUCCUUCAAAAAAGAUUUUCAAGCAAGGUAAUGAAAGGUUCCAUUCUUGAAUUACUACAUUCUGAUUUAAAGAAACAAAUAUAGGAGGAUCAGUAAUAUAUUAAAAUUAACUAAUCUUUUCUGUGCAGGAAAUGAAUCUCAAAACAAUGAUAUGAACAUGGAAAGAUGAUAUGCAUUUCUAUACGCAACAUUAAACAAUUUCUACAGGAAAUAAUGUACAAAAAUUACAAAAUGAAUUGGCAAAAAGGAAGAAACAUCGAAUGCAAAAAGGAAGAAGCAUGACAUGCAAUAUGUGACAUCAGGAAAAUUCAGAUCAAGAACGGAGGCACAACAACUGUCAGCAAGAUCAGGAAGGCAGGCACAUUCAUUAGUUGCAGGAACCUCAUGAACCAAAAUAUGAAUGAGAGGUAGCACUCAAAAUUUCACAGAUGAGGUGCAUCACAACAAUGACAAAUACAAAUCCAGGUAUGGAUUGCACCCGUGAGUUUAAUUUUUGACUGUAUUUAAUAAUUUUUGAGGUAUGCAUUUUAACUAAUGAUGUAUUUACAGUUUCAGUACGGAUUCUAUUAAAUCCUUUUAUUCUUUAUUAGGAUUUCUUUUGUUAUAUUUUAUAUUUAUAUGUAAUAGUAACUAUUGUAAUAGAAUAAUAUAUAAAAAGUAGGCCUUCAAGAUGACAGCUAUUGGCCUGCCUCUA